AGUUUUUUCAAUCAUUUUUUUUUUUUAUACAAUGUUAUUUCAUAAUGCAUAUUUCAAACUUAAACCCCUUUAGGACAAUGAUCACAUGUGUCUCACAUAUUUCCAAUUUUGAUACUUUUAAUGCUUAUUGUUAUUUUUUAUUUCCUUGAUCACUUUGUGUCACAUUCGUUUUGUGCCAUUUCUAUUGUAAAUGUAAAAUUUUUUUCAUUUUUUUCUUUUUUUCUUUAAAAACACAACGUUUUUUGACUCCUGAAGAGAUGCACAUCUGAAUGAAUAUGUAUUGACUUUAUAUGAUAGCAACAAUGUUUUUCUUGUAUACUUUCACUUCUUCUUUAAUAUUUUAAGCCAUAGUAACUAAAGUUAAACAUGAACAUUUUUUUAGAUGGGAAAAAUUCAAAAAUAUUUAUUAUGUAAUUUUUGUAAAAAAAAAUUUCAAUAGCAGUAAAUUAAAGCAAUGAACAGCUACAACAAUAAAUAUUUCUAAACCAUAUUUUUUCUUUAAGCAGUAUAUUUUUAAGGUUAUAAGAAUGUUGCCUGUAAUCGCCUUAUAGCCAGUGUUGAAUGUUAAUUUUACCCUGUACAAAAGUUUAUUGUACCUGUUGGCGUGAUUAAGUACUUAUUUUAAUGGUUGCAAAGAAUUUGAUGAAAUUUUAAUAUGCAAUAAAUUUUAUGAACAUUUAAGACUUUUUCUCAAUGUUGCUGUUUAUAGUGGGAUGCAUUGUUCUGAAUUUAAUUGUGCUUGAAGAUAACCAAAGAUAUUAGCCAAGAAUAAGUGAUCUUAAAAUUUGUUUCUACUGCCCGCCAAAGAGAAAUUGCAGGAACAAUGGACACUAAACAAUGAUGACACAGUAGCCUACAUUCAACUUCGCUUUCUGGUGACUUAAGUCUUCAGUUCGCAAACAAAACUAAUGCAAAAA